rnacentral:rRNA from 1 species
GAGGAAUAUUGGGCAAUGCCCGCAAGGGUGACCCAGCAACGCCGCGUGGAGGAUGAAUGUCGUAAGAUUGUAAACUCCUGUUAGAGGGGAAGAAUAGUACCGGUUGGACCGGUAUAUGACUGUACCCUCAGAGAAAGCCCCGGCUAACUACGUGCCAGCAGCCGCGGUAAUACGUAGGGGGCAAGCGUUGUCCGGAUUUACUGGGUGUAAAGGGCGCGCAGGCGGGAUAAAAAGUCAGUGGUGAAAUCCUACAGCUUAACUGUAGAACUGCCUUUGAUACUUUUAUUCUUGAGUUCGGGAGAGAGAGACGGAAUUCCAGGUGUAGUGGUGAAAUACGUAGAUAUCUGGAAGAACACCAGUUGCGAAGGCGGUCUCUUGGUCCGAUACUGACGCUGAGGCGCGAAAGCGUGGGGAGCAAACA